ACGGAAGGCAGCAGUGGGGAAUAUUGCACAAUGGGCGCAAGCCUGAUGCAGCCAUGCCGCGUGUAUGAAGAAGGCCUUCGGGUUGUAAAGUACUUUCAGCGGGGAGGAAGGCGAUGUGGUUAAUAACCGCAUCGAUUGACGUUACCCGCAGAAGAAGCACCGGCUAACUCCGUGCCAGCAGCCGCGGUAAUACGGAGGGUGCAAGCGUUAAUCGGAAUUACUGGGCGUAAAGCGCACGCAGGCGGUCUGUCAAGUCGGAUGUGAAAUCCCCGGGCUUAACCUGGGAACUGCAUUCGAAACUGGCAGGCUAGAGUCUUGUAGAGGGGGUAGAAUUCCAGGUGUAGCGGUGAAAUGCGUAGAGAUCUGGGAGGAAUACCGGUGGCGAAGGCGGGCCCCUGGGACAAAGCUGACGCUCAGGUGCGAAAGCGUGGGGAGCAAACGAGGAUUAGGAUAACC
rnacentral:rRNA from 1 species